GCGAACUUCGGGCGAGCAGCCGGGGUAAUACGAAGGGGUCAAGCGUUAAUCGGAAUUAGUGGGCGUAAAGCGUGCGCAGGCGGGUUGUUAAGCGAGAUGUGAAAGCCCUGGGCGCAACCGAGGAAUAGCAUUUCGAACUGGCGAACUAGAGUCUUGUAGAGGGGGGUAGAAUUCCAGGUGUAGCGGUGAAAUGCGUAGAGAUCUGGAGAAAUACCGGUGGCGAAGGCGGCCCCCUGGACAAAGACUGACGCUCAUGCACGAAAGCGUGGGGAGCAAACAGGAUUAGAUACCCUAGUAGUC
rnacentral:rRNA from 1 species